CCUACGGGAGGCAGCAGUGGGGAAUAUUGGACAAUGGGCGAAAGCCUGAUCCAGCCAUGCCGCGUGUGUGAAGAAGGCCUUCGGGUUGUAAAGCACUUUCAGUGGGGAAGAAAGCCUUGGGGCUAAUACCCUCGAGGAAGGACAUCACCCACAGAAGAAGCACCGGCUAACUCUGUGCCAGCAGCCGCGGUAAUACGGAGGGUGCGAGCGUUAAUCGGAAUUACUGGGCGUAAAGCGCGCGUAGGCGGUCUGAUAAGCCGGUUGUGAAAGCCCCGGGCUCAACCUGGGAACGGCAUCCGGAACUGUCAGGCUAGAGUGCAGGAGAGGAAGGUAGAAUUCCCGGUGUAGCGGUGAAAUGCGUAGAGAUCGGGAGGAAUACCAGUGGCGAAGGCGGCCUUCUGGACUGACACUGACGCUGAGGUGCGAAAGCGUGGGUAGCAAACAGGAUUAGAUACCCCUGUAGUC
rnacentral:rRNA from 1 species